ACUAAGCCACCCAGUCGCCCCCUUUUCGCCACUUUUUAAUUUUUUUUUUUUUUUCUGCUUUGUUUCCACACAUCUUGGAAAGCACUACACAGAUCAACAGGGCCUAGUUCUUGUGCACCAAGGUGUCUACAGAGCGAUCUCAAUGCAGGGCUUCUCAACCUAGCACUAUUCACAUUUUAGGUGAGAUCAUUCCCUGUUGUGGGGGUUGUCCUGUGCAUUCUAGGGCCUUUGGCAGCCUCCCUUGUCUCUACCCAUCACAUGCGAGUAGCAUCCUUUCCAAAUUGUGACAAUCAAAAAUGAUGCUAGACAUUGCCUAAUGUCUCCUGGGCGGGGCGAGGGGAGAGGGACAGGGCUUAGGAUGGGGGAGGGGACAAAGUGAGACUUGAAAACCACUGCCUUAAUGGAAUCAGUUAGGAAACACUGUGUGAAAUACUGGCAUGUUUUGCAUGCUGUAAUCAACAGGAAACUGAUUCCUAGAUCAAAAUCCAAAACAAAUUCCAAUCCAAAGGAGCACUUCUCAGUCCAUCAUUAAGGAAGAGAAUCUGUUAGCUUCAGUUUCAUUCUGAGCACAUUUGACACUUUUGAUCAUGAGACCCAAGACAGUCAUGUUUUGAGAAAUCCCAUGUAGAGCUUAGGAAAGUAAUCUAAAUAUUCUUGUUUGGUUUACAAGAAGACUAAUGGCCCCCUUCAGAUGUGUGUAAGGGGCUUCCAUGACGAAAGUUUUCUCAACAAUAGUAUAGUUGCCUGCCUUGGGUCAAAAUGAGGACUUUGGCUGCAGAGUACCAUGCUAUGUAUAUAUUUUAAUAGGUCUCUACAACAGCUGGUUCAGGUAGCGGUUUUUGCAUGAUCCUCCUGUAAGUUCUGGUGGAAGCAGUUCGGUAGAUCUGGGAGAUAUCAUUAUCUAUUCAUUCAUAUAAUAAAUGUUCUUGAAUUCCUCUCUAUGCCACACCCAGUGCGCAGCUGUAGGGAUACAGUGGUGCAUAAGACAGACCCCAUUUUCUGCACGGACAGAGCAGUCAAGGAGCUGGCCAGUGGCACAUAAAGACUGUUCUGACUGCCGUGGGAAGAACGGGCUUUUGGAGUGAGACAACACGGAGCAGCAUAGAUCUCAUUUCGAGUGCAGCAUUUUUAAAAAGCACCUACAUCCUCAAAAAUUAAAAAACAUUCUGGGCCCACCAUAAUUCUUGAUACUACAUUUGUUGAGCAAGUUCCAUCAUAGUCCUGAGGGCCCAGCAAAUAGCUGUUCCUCGAGCACGGGGUCUUGUACACAGGAGAUGGACCCUUGAUAGAGAGGCAGCCCAUUGUAACCUCUGCAAACUGGCUCUUGGAGAGGAAUCGUCUACAGUCAUAUCUAGGCUGCGCUAUUAACUCAUUGAACUUUGGCUCUUCCCAAAUGUCCGAAGCGAUCACAGAGCAGGAGGGGCAUCCUGGGAGGAGAGAAAGUGUGUACAUUGUGCUCUGUGCUUCACAAGGCAACCAGGUCAGCCGGAAGAGAUCAGGCCAUGAUGACUGCCAUCACGAGGAGCUCCUAGCUUUCUGAGUGGAGAACUAAAUACCAGAAAGGUGUGGUUCCUUCCUCAAAGAAUAGAUUUCCUUGUUGUGAAGCAGUGAUUUCCAAACUUUGAGGACAUACUAUUAACAAAUGUGUGUGUGUCUGUGUGUUCUUUGUGUACUACUGAAUUAACUAUCUAUGUGUGUUAUAAAAACACACAAAAUAGAAAUUAAGAAAGACUGAGAUGAACUGAACAGAAAUAGAAAUCUUUCUUUCUCCCUCUCUCCCUCUAGUGAAUUUUCCUACAUGGUGCCUGGGGUGUGACCAUCCUCCUUCCGAGAUUACCCUAAGUGACAAAAUACUGGGUGGUCAAAAUAUGUUGCUUCAGUGAACAAAAGGCAGUGAUGGAACUGAACCAUCACAAGAAGCUCCUGGAGGGGGACCCAGUUUCUCAUACUUAACUUUCUAUGCUCAAUUCUACUUUACUGGAAAAGGAAAGAAAGCCUUCCUGGGUAUCUGAUAACUAACGUGGAAUCCAGGUUUAUAUUAGGUUAUAUGAAUAACCUCAAUCUUUCUGUAAGUUCAAAGUGUCUAUUAAAUAUGUCUUUUGGGAUGUGAGACAAUGUCACUGCCCAAUUCUGUCACCUGCUCAGGAGAGUUGCUGACCCAGUGUGUAAGGGCCUGAAUGGAGGCCCAGCGCUGCCUGUGCCACUCCUGGCAGGGUGAGAGGGCACAGCCGUGCUCACAGAGCUGGGUCAGGCACCCUCACUAUGCAUGUGCGUAUGUACUCCAUGCAGUCCCAGUCUCGGAAACGUUCUGGGGCUUUCUCAACAAGUAGCCAAGCUGUGUAGUUCUAGCCAGCUCAUUCAUAAGGUUAUGACAUUGUGGGAAAGAAGCUCAACUGGGUUCUAGUCUCAGCUCUGCUCUGUGACCUUGGGCAAGUGCUUUAACGUCUUUCGACCUGUUUUCUCAUCUGUCCUGGGGGGAGCUGGUAUCGCACCAUCUGCCCCACAGGGUUAUCACCUAUGCAGGAAUUUUGAGAAUAACAAAACAUUGUACAAAUGAAGCCAUAAAGUAUUCAGAUCCAUGUGUUGAGGUCUUUCCAAGGCAUAAAGACAAACUUUUCCUACAAGUUUUGGAGCUGACUAUCCUGUGGAACUUUCUCUUAAGGAGCCCAGCUCAGAGGGAAAUUGGCUCCUGGUGGAUUUCUCAUCUGAACUCAGAGCCCUAGAGGCUUUAUAAGCCUAAAGAAUGAACCAAGCGGACUACGAUGACUUCUAAAAAUGUGGAUACAUUUCCAUACUCCCAGAUAAUGCCAAAAUUUCCAAGAGAUGUAAUUUUUUUUUGUUCGUCCAUUCCGCAAAUAUUUUCAGAACAUCUUACCUCUGAGAUAAAGUUAAAAAGCCCCCUCCCUCAAGGGCUCCUAUGCCAGUGAAUGAGGAAUGCAUGUAAACAAUCAUUGCCAUACCUGACAAAACCCACUGCAAGGUGUGAAUUAUGAAGAGCUUUGGAAUAUGGGGAGAUUUAAAUUUUGGGGAAUCAGAUUAAGUGACGUAUGGAAGAGUAGAAAUUCAGGCAUUGCCAGCAGGAAUGAAAGACAUCAAGAGAGAGGGAAUGAAGGGAAGACCAGGAGUUGGGUGAAGGUUGGAAAGGGGUAGGGAACAACAUGAUUUUCUGGGAGCUGUAAUGCACUCAGUAAGUCUUGACUGAAUUUCCAGGAAGAAGAGAGGGAGACAAUAAGCCCAGAAAGAAGGCAGAAGCCAGCUCAUGGUGGAAGUGGGACGCUGGGCAGAUCUUCUAGGCCAGCAGUACCUGAAAAGCUACUUGAAACAUUUUAUAUCAGAUUAGCAACAACCAUUUAUCUGUACACAUAUGAACAAAUAUUUUUACUUAUUAUGCAUUUAGCAUAUGCUAACACUCCUCUAAGAUACCAGAGUCAGUGUGACUACCAUGUUCCUACCCUCAUAAAGUGUAUGCCGAGGGUCAAAGACAGACACCAAAAAAUUAUUAAAGUGUAAUGAGUGUUAAGAUGGCCAUAGUAUUCUAUGCCACCAUAUCAUGUUGUUCAGAGAGGUCACUCUGACGACAGAAUAGGUCAGAUAAUUUUUCCUAUCCUCCUGGAAAAAUACCAACAGCUCAAGUUUUCUCCACUGACCUCAAGGUAUAAACCCAGCUGCUCUCUGAGAUGCUCAGUCAAGUUAUCAUUGACCCUCUGAAUUAAGGCAUGGGGAAUGGCCUGGUUAAGGUCAGCAACUUAAGGUUCUGUGUCAGAACCCAGAGCCAUAAGGUCAGAAUCAAAAGCUUAUACUGUGCUCUCAGCUGUGUUCCUGUUUGCCCAUGUGACCUUGGGCAAGUCACACCAUUCACUGGGUUUAAUAAUUUUAAGGAGAAUAAUAAAGUUCUUCUCAGAUUAAUGUUCCAAGACUCUAUGAAAGAGGGCUGGUAAUUGGAAUGUUCUAGCGAAUUCGUGUUUACAAAGGCUAGGGCUGUCUGUGUUAAUCUUUGUAAGAUCUACCCACCCAUGGACCGACAAUGAGAAGACAAUUUCUUAAAGUACUUUCUCUCUCUUUUUAAAAUUUUAAUUUCACUUUUUAAUUUGAGUUUUUAUUUUGAAGCAUUUUUUCCAUACUACUUGACCCCCAACACAGCCCUGCACGUCACACUGUCCUUUUUGUUGGACAGAAUUAAAUCAAACAGAUGGGGUUGCAAGGAACAAUCCAACCGAUGUGUACAUGUUGUCCUUAUACCUCACAGUAGGCUAUUAGCUCCCUCAGACUAGAUUUUGCCCUUCUCUUUUUUCACUCCAAAAGAUUGUAUGGGGCACAUCUCCGGAGGCAAGAAGAUAAUGCUUUCUCCAGGACCAGAAUAGCAAGCUACAUAGGAUAAGCUUUGAUGGGCACCAUAGCCCUUACCUCCCCAUCCUCAGUGUCUGUAAUUUCCAUGGCCAAGAUUAACACAUCCCCAUGAGUUCAAAGAAAUGACAUGACAACCAGAUAAUUGUGGCAAGGAUGAAAGGUAAGUUGAGGGUGGAGUAUUCCAGCAUUGCGUUCUGUCAUUCCCAGGAAAAAAAUGGUGGUGUACUUGUCAACAUGCCUAAAAACGAUGCCACUUAGAGGAUGACACAUAACUCAUAUGUUGUUCUACAUCUAUGAAACUCAUACAGUUUUCAAGCUGGGAGAUAAGAACAAAGGACAUAAAUGGCAUCACCUGUCAAGACUCACUACCGCUAUGUACACAUCACCUGUGCGUGCCUACCCUGACCUCAGCUAGAUGGCUAUCAAUUGAUAUAUGGGUUGUAGUCAAACAGUGCCUGAGGAGUCAUGAUGAAGGCUUCUCCUCCACAUGUUCAGUGGCUGAUUGAUCCUGGCCAUCAGCUGGAACCUCCACUGGGGCUGUUGGCCAGAACAUUUACACGUGAAUUCUCUGUGUGUUCUGGGCUUCCUCACAGCAUUGUGUCUGGCUUCCAAGAGCAAAUGUCUCAAGACACAAUAGAA